rnacentral:rRNA from 1 species
ACUCAAAGGAAUUGACGGGGGCCCGCACAAGCGGUGGAGCAUGUGGUUUAAUUCGACGCAACGCGAAGAACCUUACCUGGGUUUGAAAUGCAGUGGACCGGUGCAGAGAUGCAUCUUCCCUUCGGGGCCGCUGUGUAGGUGCUGCAUGGCUGUCGUCAGCUCGUGUCGUGAGAUGUUGGGUUAAGUCCCGCAACGAGCGCAACCCUUGCCAGUAGUUACCAUCGGGUAAAGCCGGGAACUCUACUGGGACUGCCGGUGUUAAACCGGAGGAAGGUGGGGAUGAUGUCAAGUCCUCAUGGCCCUUAUGUCCAGGGCUACACACGUGCUACAAUGGUCGGUACAAAGGGUUGCCAAACCGCGAGGUGGAGCUAAUCCCAAAAAACCGAUCUCAGUUCGGAUUGCAGUCUGCAACUCGACUGCAUGAAGUCGGAAUCGCUAGUAAUCGUGGAUCAGCAUGCCACGGUGAAUACGUUCCCGGGCCUUGUACACACCGCCCGU